rnacentral:lncRNA from 1 species
UACUAGCUGUUGACACCUACGCCUGGGUGCUCGAGGAGGCCAAGCACCACGACGAUGACGACUUUGUUGUUGGAUGGGGACUGCACGGCUUGGCUGGCUGCUACUGCUGUUGCUUGCUCAAAGCCAACCAACGAUACUGUUGUUUUCGCAUUUCUUUUGUUCUUGCUAUUUUGGGCGUCACAGCGACAUCGGCGUCAGCGAGGACUCCAUGGGAGACAGUGCCCGCUGGGACGAGCUCCGCGCUGCUGGGCCUGGACGCCGCACCCGUGCCGCCGCAGUUAUUCGUGGAUGGCCGAUAUUCGGCCGACGAAGUGGUCAUGCGGCACGAGCAGGCGCCACCGCUGCCGUAGAGAGCACACAGAGAGAAGGGAACGAGGGAAAGAAAAUCGGUGUAUUCUGGUGUGGGACAGUGAGGGCAAUUUCAUCCACCAUUAUAUCUAAAGGAGACGGG